rnacentral:tRNA from 1 species
GGGGCUGUAGCUCAGCUGGGAGAGCACCUGCCUUGCAAGCAGGGGGUCGACGGUUCAAGUCCGUUCAGCUCCA